AAACCCCAUUCUAUCAUUGAUACUGAAAAAGUUCUUAUUAUAACUUUAGAAGAAAAUGAUGAGAGAGGUACAAUUAAUCCUUUGGGAUUAAUUAUCUAGCCUGCUGCAGAAAAUUUAGUAGGCUUUUCUUUAUCUUUAAGAUUAAUGAAAACCUUUGUCUGCAACUGCUGUUUGUUUGAAGUUAAGGUCAAGCCUUCAUGAUAUUUGCAUUCAUUGAAGGCUGGCAUUCUAUAUAACACAAGCUUCAUAAUUGGUUAAAUAUACAUUCAAUGUUAAGUUGUUCUUUACUGCCUAAUGUAAAUACAAGGAUAUUAUUUUCAGGUUUUUGAAUAUUCAGGAAUUAUCUUGAAAUUUUAAGAAUACAGUUGCUGUUGCUUAUUCUUCGUACAUUUUUUAAUCAUUCCGUAAGCUGCACCCUUUUAAUUCUACCCCAUGGCGGGGCCCUUGCUGACUGGUCAGUUUUCUAGUUAUGUGUAGUUUUUUUUUUUAAUUCUUGUUAGUUGAUUUUGUUUUGUAUUUUAUUUUUCAUUUUGGCGCCUUGUAUAGAUAUUUUGAUUUAUGAUUGGAUUUUGAGAUCAUUGCUAUUUGGAGUGAAUUAUGUUUCACAGCAUUUUUGUCCGAGAAGGUAAUUUGCUCUAGUUAUUUAACUGCAGGAGCUCGUCUCGUGGUGCUGAGGAGAUAAUUUAAUUAAGUUGAGUGACCGACUCUGUGAGAGAGCAAUGUUUACUAGCUUUGCUAUUAAUUACUGUUUGAUUGUGGCUGUUUCGAAGUCAUCCUUUAUCUAAGUAAUUAUUUUAGCUGCUGUAUAUCAAUGUCUCCACGCUAAUUGUUUUGUAAACCAUGGUACUUACAUGAUAGAUGGAAGUUUUAUUUUUCAAUUAUUUGUGUCAUUACGGGUUAUGCCUAUUUUUACAAUUAUAAUUUAAUAUGUUUCUAAUGUACAGCUUAAUGAUAAGUGAAAGUACGAGAACAUUGUUUUGAGUUUUUACUCAUGUUGUAAAUUGUGUGACAUUUGUUUAUUUUUUUUCUGUGUAAUCCUCAUUUUUUUUAAAUAUUAAUUUGCAUUUAUUAACCCCAUGUAAAAUUGUUUUACAAUUUUAUUUUCUGUGGGCGGAUGUUAUGAUUAUGGGUUAUAAGGGUUUAUAAAUGACAAAUUUUUAAUUAUGAAUAUAUUUAUACAUAAUUGUUUAUUACUUUUCGGUCUUGUUUGACAUCUGUAGUUGAAAGUUAAUUGUUUUCAUUUGAUGUUUAGGAAAGACAUUUUUGCACAUGUUAGCAAUAUCUAAUUCUUGACAUCUCUUUCCUGUCUCACGAUAUCAAUGUCAUUUACUCAUACUUGUUAUCAACUUUAUGGUUAGAUCUUAGGAUCGUGUUCUUUGAAUUUGUUAUGCUUAGCUCUACCUAAUUUCAGUGUUGUAAAUUAAUGUCAUACGGAUUCCCCCUGUUCUUGCAAUGUUCUAUCCUUAAUUUAAUUGGCUGGUCAGUACGAAAGUGGGCGGAGUUGUCAAAGAUUAGAUGUGAGUGAGUUUGUAAGUGAGUAAAUUUUUAGGAAAAUUC